AUUGAACGCUGGCGGCAGGCCUAACACAUGCAAGUCGAACGAGUGGCGGACGGGUGAGUAAUGUCUGGGUAACUGCCUGAUGGAGGGGGAUAACUACUGUAAACGGUAGCUAAUACCGCAUACUAUCGGAUGUGCCCAGAUGGGAUUAACUAGUAGGUUGGGUAAAGGCUCACCUAGGCGACGCUCACUAGCUGUGCUGAGAGGAGGACCAGCCACACUGGAACUGAGGCACGGUCCAGACUCCUACGGGAGGCAGCAGUGGGGAAAAUUGCACAAUGGGAGCAAACCUGAUGCAGCCAGGCCGCGUGUAUGAAGAAGGCCUUCGGGUUGUAAAGUACUUUCAGCAGGGAGGCGUUACCCGCAGAAGAAGCACCGGCUAACUCCGUGCCAGCCGCCGCGGUAAUGC
rnacentral:rRNA from 1 species